rnacentral:rRNA from 1 species
UACGUAGGAUGCAAGCGUUGUCCGGAAUUAUUGGGCGUAAAGGGCACGCAGGCGGCUUUGCAAGCUUGGUGUGAAAUCUCAGGGCUCAACCCUGAAACUGCAUUGAGAACUGCAUGGCUAGAGUUAGUGAGGGGAAACCGGAAUUCCAGGUGUAGGGGUGAAAUCUGUAGAUAUCUGGAAGAACACCAAUGGCGAAGGCAGGUUUCCAGCACAUAACUGACGCUCAGGUGCGAAGGUGCGGGGAUCAAACAGG